CCGUCGCAAGGCGNCCUCUGGCCCGCGUCCGUCGGUGGCCGACAUUUAAACUCUUGAUUAAAUCAUGUUAUACUGUCUAAGUUUUAUAAGUAAUAAAAGCAAAACUUUCAACAACGGAUCUCUUGGUUCUGGCAUCGAUGAAGAACGCAGCGAAAUGCGAUAAGUAAUGCGAAUUGCAGAAUUCCAGUGAGUCAUCGAAUCUUUGAACGCACAUUGCGCCCUUUGGCAUUCCGAAGGGCAUGCCUGUUCGAGCGUCAUUAUCACCCUUCAAGCCCUGCGCUUGGUGUUGGACGGCUUGGUCGCAUAUCUCGUUCGACCCCUCCCAAAGACAAUGACGGCGGCCCGCGGUUCCCCCGGUACACUGAGCUUUUUAACUGAGCACGUAUCGGACAAGGGCGCCCGGGUCACGGUCCUCUCCCGUAACGGGAAACACUUUUAACUAAGGUUGACCUCGGAUCAGGUAGGAAUACGCGCUGAACUUAAGCAUAUCAA
rnacentral:rRNA from 1 species